AACCAAUGUCUCUUGAAUCUAAAAGAACCCAAACCACCACACACAUGCUAUCCUCGUACAACCAUCUCAAACAGGCACUCCUCCCAAAUCCCAUUUAGAUCAUCAUCACCUCCCACUAAAGCCAGAAGGCCAAUUAUAAAUUACAGAUGAAAAUUUUCCAAAUGAUUGAAAUCUUGUUACAUAGGCUAAUGAUCUUUCUCUCGAUGCAGAGACAUUUUGUUAACCCUACGAACCUGCCUAACUAAUUGUUGUUAUGGUUACGAAUUGAUUGAUUGUAGAGUAAACUGUAUGACGACACAUUUCAUUAUAAAAAAAUUUGAAAAGAGGUUUAAAUCAAAAAAAAUAAAAGAAGAAUCAUCAUCAACAGAAGAA